GAUGAACGCUAGCUACAGGCUUAACACAUGCAAGUCGAGGGGCAGCAUGAACUUAGCUUGCUAAGUUUGAUGGCGACCGGCGCACGGGUGAGUAACACGUAUCCAACCUGCCGAUGACUCGGGGAUAGCCUUUCGAAAGAAAGAUUAAUACCCGAUGGCAUAGUUCUUCCGCAUGGUAGAACUAUUAAAGAAUUUCGGUCAUCGAUGGGGAUGCGUUCCAUUAGGUUGUUGGCGGGGUAACGGCCCACCAAGCCUUCGAUGGAUAGGGGUUCUGAGAGGAAGGUCCCCCACAUUGGAACUGAGACACGGUCCAAACUCCUACGGGAGGCAGCAGUGAGGAAUAUUGGUCAAUGGACGAGAGUCUGAACCAGCCAAGUAGCG
rnacentral:rRNA from 1 species